rnacentral:rRNA from 1 species
GACGAACGCUGGCGGCGUGCCUAAUACAUGCAAGUAGAACGCACAGUUUAUACCGUAGCUUGCUACACCAUAGACUGUGAGUUGCGAACGGGUGAGUAACGCGUAGGUAACCUGCCUGGUAGCGGGGGAUAACUAUUGGAAACGAUAGCUAAUACCGCAUAAUAUUAAUUAUUGCAUGAUAAUUAAUUGAAGGGUGCAAUUGCACCACUACCAGAUGGACCUGCGUUGUAUUAGCUAGUAGGUGAGGUAACGGCUCACCUAGGCGACGAUACAUAGCCGACCUGAGAGGGUGAUCGGCCACACUGGGACUGAGACACGGCCCAGACUCCUACGGGAGGCAGCAGUAGGGAAUCUUCGGCAAUGGACGAAAGUCUGACCGAGCAACGCCGCGUGAGUGAAGAAGGUUUUCGGAUCGUAAAGCUCUGUUGUAAGAGAAGAACGGGUGUGAGAGUGGAAAGUUCACACUGUGACGGCAUCUUACCAGAAAGGGACGGCUAACUACGUG